rnacentral:rRNA from 1 species
CUGCUGCCUCCCGUAGGAGUUUGGGCCGUGUCUCAGUCCCAAUGUGGCCGUUCACCCUCUCAGGCCGGCUACUGAUCGUCGCCUUGGUGGGCUGUUACCCCGCCAACAAGCUAAUCAGACGCGGAUCCAUCGUAUACCACCGGAGUUUUUCACACCGUCUCAUGCGAGACUGUGCGCUUAUGCGGUAUUAGCACCUAUUUCUAAGUGUUAUCCCCCAGUAUACGGCAGGUUAUCCACGCGUUACUCACCCGUCG